GACGAACGCUGGCGGCGUGCCUAAUACAUGCAAGUCGAACGCAGUGGGGACGGGUGAGUAACACGUGGGUAACCUCCCAUCAGAGGGGAUAACACUUGGAAACAGGUGCUAAACCGAUACUGAUGGAUGGACCCGCGGUGCAUUGGCUAGUUGGUGAGGUAACGGCUCACCUAGGCGACGAUCUCUAGGGGGUCUGCGCGGAUGAGCGGCCACACUGGUACUGAGCCACGGCCCAGCCUCCAACGGUAGACAGCAGCAGGGAAUCUUCGGCAAUGGACCAAAGUCUGACCGAGAAACGCCGCGUGAGUGAUGAAGGUUUUCGGAUCGUAAAACUCUUUGGUUAGAGAAGCGGUAUCUAACCAGAAAGCCACGGCUAACUACGUGCCAGCAGCCGCGGUAAUAC
rnacentral:rRNA from 1 species